AUUGACUUUGGCCCAAGUUCUGACUAGGUCUGAUCUUAUGGACUAUUUCUCAAAUGAACAACUUUUUGACUUGGAUAUGCAAAAGAGGCAGCAUCUUGUUUUGAAGAUUACAACUGAGGCCAAGAGUUGAAAACUCACAACAUCAAGAGUUUUAUACCUAGAUCAAGUAUCCUUCCACUGAUGAUGUGCAUUUCUGUAAUAGAAGGAGCUCCAGGUUUAUGGAGAGUACCCUCACCCAAGAAUGAAUCAAGAACUGCUAUGGAUAAUAAACAGCAAGAAUCACUGCACCGUGCAUUUUCCAAAACCAGCUCAAUGAGGAAAUCAACUCAAUAACUAGAAUUUUACUCUUUUGAAUACAUUUAGUGGAGGAAAAAAAAAGAGAAAUGAGGAAACACUGGCUUUUUUUUGGUAGGCUGAUCCACCUCCCCUGGGACCAAGCUCUUGAAAAGCAUUAUGUUCUAAUGGAGAGAAGAUAGCCUCUGGUAUCAGGAGAUGGAGGUUCUAUUCAUGGCUCUGACAUGAAGUAUCUGUGUGACCAUGAGCAUGCCCCUUCACUUUCUUGGGUCUAUGUUAACUCCUCUGUAAAGUAGGAAUGGGAUUAAUUAAUUAUCAUUUGGUAAACUGAAUUAAAUUUUUAUAAUAAUGUAACAGAUAUCAAAGGAUGGUCAUUUAUAAUUUAAUGAAAAUUUGUCAAAAAUUUGCAUCCACAGACUUGCAACUAACAUUGGCUUUUCCAUAUAACCCAAAACAACCAUAAGACCUGAUCUUGUUUGAGAAUCCUAUGGGCUCUUAUUUCAGUUUUUAAGAGGAAAAAAAUAAAGGUAGAUGUCUGAGGAGGCUGAAUGGCA
rnacentral:lncRNA from 1 species